CAGCUCCCCGAGUGGUGGGGACGAUUAUUGGGCCUAAAGCGUCCGUAGCCGGCUUGGCAAGUCUCCCGUUAAAUCCAGCGACUAAUCGUUGGACUGCGGGAGAUACUGUCAGGCUAGGGGGCGGGAGAAGCCGACGGUACUCUCGGGGUAGGGGUGAAAUCCUAUAAUCCCGAGAGGACCACCAGUGGCGAAGGCGGUCGGCUAGAACGCGCCCGACGGUGAGGGACGAAAGCUGGGGGAGCGAACCGGAUUAGAUACCCGGGUAGUCCCAGCUGUAAACGAUGCAGGCUAGGUGUUGGCGCGACCACGAGUUACGCCAGUGCCGCAGGGAAGCCGUUAAGCCUGCCGCCUGGGGAGUACGGUCGCAAGACUGAAACUUAAAGGAAUUGGCGGGGGAGCACCACAAGGGGUGAAGCUUGCGGUUCAAUUGGAGUCAACGCCGGGAACCUCACCAGGGGAGACAGCAGGGUGAAGGCCAGAUUGAAGGUCUUGCCGGACAAGCUGAGAGGAGGUGCAUGGCCGUCGCCAGUUCGUGCCGUGAGGUGUCCUGUUAAGUCAGGCAACGAUCGAGACCCACGCCCCUUGUUGCCAGCGGCACUCCAGAAGGAGGCCGGGCACACUAGGGGGACCGCCGCCGAUAAGGCGGAGGAAGGUGUGGGCCACGGCAGGUCAGUAUGCCCCGAAUCCCCUGGGCCACACGCGAGCUGCAAUGGUAGGGACAAUGAGUUGCAACCCUGAGAGGGGAAGCUAAUCUCUAAACCCUGCCUCAGUUGGGAUCGAGGGCUGCAACCCGCCCUCGUGAACAUGGAAUCCCUAGUAAUCGCGCGUCAUCAUCGCGCGGUGAAUACGUCCCCGCUCCUU
rnacentral:rRNA from 1 species